CUACGUGCCAGCAGCCGCGGUAAUACGGAAGGUCUAGGCGUUAUCCGGAUUUAUUGGGUUUAAAGGGAGCGUAGGCCGUGGAUUAAGCGUGUUGUGAAAUGUAGACGCUCAACGUCUGAAUUGCAGCGCGAACUGGUUCACUUGAGUAUGCACAACGUAGGCGGAAUUCGUCGUGUAGCGGUGAAAUGCUUAGAUAUGACGAAGAACUCCGAUUGCGAAGGCAGGUGUCCGGGCUGCAACUGACGCUGAGGCUCGAAAGUGUGGGUAUCAAACAGGAUUAGAUACCCUGGUAGUCCACACAGUAAACGAUGUAUACUCGCGGUUUGCGAUAGAUUGUAAGCCGCCAAGCGAAAGCAUUAAGUAUACCACCUGGGGAGUACGCCGGCAACGGUGAAACUCAAAGGAAUUGACGGGGGCCCGCACAAGCGGAGGAACAUGUGGUUUAAUUCGAUGAUACGCGAGGAACCUUACCCGGGCU
rnacentral:rRNA from 1 species